GGGGAUAUUGCACAAUGGGGGGAACCCUGAUGCAGCGACGCCGCGUGGGUGAAGGAGCGUUUCGGCGCGUAAAGCCCUAUCGGCAGGGAAGAAGGAGGACGGUACCUGACUAAGAAGCCCCGGCUAACUACGUGCCAGCAGCCGCGGUAAUACGUAGGGGGCUAGCGUUAUCCGGAAUUACUGGGCGUAAAGGGUGCGUAGGUGGUUUCUUAAGUCAGAGGUGAAAGGCUACGGCUCAACCGUAGUAAGCCUUUGAAACUGGGAAACUUGAGUGCAGGAGAGGAGAGUGGAAUUCCUAGUGUAGCGGUGAAAUGCGUAGAUAUUAGGAGGAACACCAGUUGCGAAGGCGGCUCUCUGGACUGUAACUGACACUGAGGCACGAAAGCGUGGGGAGCAAACAGG
rnacentral:rRNA from 1 species